GUCCGAGUGACGAAGUGGUAUCGUGCCGUUCUUAUACUAUUUGGCAACUAUUUGGCGCGCGAAAUAGCAUGAUAUAUAGCAAUGCGGAAGUCGUGAGUUCGAUCCUCACCUUGGACA
rnacentral:tRNA from 1 species